UAAGUAGAGCAAAUGAACUGUAAAGACAUUUUGGUUGAGUUUUUACUUUAUACUGUUUGGUACUUUGGUUUAAUAUGCAGCUGAUUUGCUAUAAAUGGGAGAAAAUGAUGGAUUAAUUUCAUGAUUUUGUUCUUCUGCAUUUGCAGGGGUCCAUUCAGAUGCAAUUGUCAUGAUCGAAACAGAAAGAGGAAGACUUUGAGAAACACAAAGAUAAGUUGCCAGAUUGAUGCAGAGACAAUGAGUUUGGGUACAAGUACAAUGGCCAGCAGUGACUAAGUUCCGGAUGCAACUAGUGACCAUGAAAUUCGAAGGGAGUCUGUAGGAGAAGAAGGGAAUCCAGAUUCAAGCAGUGAUAGAGCAAUAGACUGAGUUUCAAUAUGUUAUUGCAUAUUUUUGUUAAGUGUUACUCUUGGUUGUCUUCAUUAGGUACUUGGUUUUGGGCAUAACUUAAUUUGUACUUCUUCUAAUUACCUAUA